UGAAAUUUUUGUUCGGUAGCAGAACAAAAUUGUUUAUAUUAUUGAAAAAAAAUUGUUUAUUUUAUUGAAAUUAAAGACACUGUAGCGUCUUUAAUUGAAAACACUAAUAGUAGUGAGUUUUUAAAAGCCCUUUGUGAUAUUUUCUGAAAAAUGGAUCGAGAUCGUAUAUUUGCGUCUGAUCCUGUUUUACACCAAUCCUUCCACCCGAGAAAAAGGAAUCCACAGACAAUAGUGCACAUGAGAAUUUGUAGCGCAUCAGCUAUUCCCGUUCAGGCGACUUAAAACCGUAAAACUACGCACAAGCUUCCGGACAAGGAUUCAGAAUUGGAGGAAGGUAAACCAGACAUUGAUCCACUACCUGCCAAACAACCUGUGGUCUCCCAAAAACACAGUAACUCAGGAAGAGGUCGUAGAUGACGGGGAAACGCAAGAAACCGACAACAGUAAACUGACGAUGGAAAGCAGAUACAUCCUAGGCGGCCGUAACGUUCAUCGGGCUGACAAUCCCGCGACAAGCUCGUUGAUGGUACGUGGGCUAUAUUUCGUUCGAUGUCACCCAGCAGUUAGGGGCCGUACAUUAAUUACCGUAAGAAACUGGCAGACCCCCCCUCCCCCCCUAAGUGCUUACGUAAUUAGUGUACGACCCCUUAACGAGUACCCGCCCGGUUCUGGCCUGCCAAAUCAAUCUGAAGCAAUGGCAUUCGAUAACAUCAACUUCAAAGGGCAAAGUUUGAAGAUUAGACCGCACGAUUACCAGCUCAUCCCUGCAGGGAUGCCGAGGCAUGACCCACUCCGCUCUGUCAGCCUUAUCACCAUCGUUCUGGAUGUUCCGCUAUUCAGCUGCUGUCUGCUAGCCAGGCGUUGUUCGAACCGCUUCUCAUCGCAGAACAGAACCAAUCGGGUUUUAUGAGGUCGAGGCAAGGACAUCAAUCAACAUAUUUGCGUUUUUGGCAUGGCACUCAAACUGAGAACCAGCGGUUAUUAUUUGACCGCUGUGCCAGUGGGGCACUUGCAUCUGAAGUUUGAAAGACCAUCGACUUUUGUGCUGUGAUCUGCGUGUUUCAAGUGAGAAGAUGCUCACAUGUCACCAUGCCAUUUCACCGGAUCGGCUUCCGUGUUUACGAUUACUCGCGAACCCCCGGCCAUCCCAGGUAAUUGCCGCGGAUAGACCGAACAGUGCAACGAAUCAUACGGACUGAUACUAGCGGCUCCUAUUAAAUCGACGUGCAAUGCCACCGGUCUAUGAGUGAUGGUCACCGGCAGUGAAAUCCAAUCUAAAAAUCUGCUGUAUUGGAAUAACCCGAUCUGUGAACAUAAAAUAAAUUUUCUUCAGGAACUGUGAAAUAGAUAACAAAAAAAUAAGAAUAAAUAAAUAUUACUACAUGUGCAAUAUCAAUAAAAA